ensembl:miRNA MIR577 microRNA 577
UGCAUUUGGGGGAAUGAAGAGUAGAUAAAAUAUUGGUACCUGAUGAGUCCGAGGCCAGGUUUCAAAACUUUAUCUGCUCUUCAUUUUCCCAUAUCUACUUACUGUAGGUA